rnacentral:rRNA from 1 species
UACGUAGGGGGCAAGCGUUGUCCGGAUUUAUUGGGCGUAAAGAGCGUGUAGGCGGCUUGGUAGGUCCGCUGUGAAAACUCGGGGGCUCAACCCCGAGAGGUCGGUGGAAACCAUCUGGCUAGAGUCCGGAAGAGGAGAGUGGAAUUCCCGGUGUAGCGGUGAAAUGCGCAGAUAUCGGGAAGAACACCCGUGGCGAAGGCGGCUCUCUGGGACGGUACUGACGCUGAGACGCGAAAGCGUGGGGAGCGAACAGG